GCUGCGCCUGCGCAGUGCAGACGUCGCCAUUCCUGGCCCAGGGGAAGAUUGCGUUUCACCUGCUCCUGAAGGCCGAAGGUGGCUCUAGCGCAUCGUUUGUCGAGCCGUGACCUGCAGGUACUGACAGAUCCGUAGGGAGGACACCGUGACUUCCCGGACGCUGGGAAAUGGACUCAGUCUCCUUUGAGGAUGUGGCCGUGAACUUCACCCUGGAGGAGUGGGCUUUGCUGGAUUCUUCACAGAAAAAGCUCUAUGAGGAUGUGAUGCAGGAGACCUUCAAAAACCUGGUCUGUCUAGGAAAAAAGUGGGAAGACCAGGACAUUGAAGAUGACCACAGAAACCAGGGGAGAAAUCGAAGAUGUCAUAUGGUUGAGAGACUCUGUGAAAGUAGAAAAGGUAGCAAAUGUGGAGAAACCACUAGCCAGAUGCCAAAUGUUAAUAUCAACAAGGAAACUUUUACUGGAGCAAAACCACAUGAAUGCAGCUUUUGUGGAAGAGACUUCAUGCAUCAUUCGUCCCUUAAUAGGCACAUGAGAUCUCACACUGGACAGAAACCAAAUGAGUAUCAGGAAUGUGAAAAGCAACCACGUAAACAUAAAGCAGUUGAGAAAACCUUCAGUUAUCACCACUGCUUUCGCAAACAUGAAAGAACUCACACUAGAGUGAAGCCAUAUGAAUGUAAACAGUGUGGGAAAGCCUUUAUAUAUUACCAGCCAUUUCAAAGACAUGAAAGGACUCAUGCUGGAGAGAAACCCUAUGAAUGUAAGCAAUGUGGAAAAACCUUUAUAUACUACCAGUCUUUUCAAAAACAUGCUCAUACUGGAAAGAAACCCUAUGAAUGUAAACAGUGUGGGAAAGCCUUUAUAUGUUACCAAUCUUUUCAAAGACAUGAAAGGACUCACACUGGAGAGAAACCCUAUGAAUGUAAGCAAUGUGGUAAGGCUUUCAGUUGUCCCACAUACUUUCGAACUCAUGAAAGAACUCACACUGGAGAAAAACCCUACAAAUGUAAAGAAUGUGGUAAAGCCUUCAGUUUUCUCAGUUCUUUUCGAAGGCAUAAAAGGACUCAUAGUGGAGAGAAACCCUAUGAAUGUAAAGAAUGUGGAAAAGCCUUCUUUUAUUCUGCAAGCUUUCGAGCACAUGUUAUAACACACACUGGGGCUCGACCUUAUAAAUGCAAAGAGUGUGGGAAAGCCUUCAACUCUUCUAAUUCCUGUCGAGUGCAUGAAAGAACUCACAUUGGAGAAAAACCAUAUGAAUGUAAACAAUGUGGCAAAUCAUUCAGUUGGUCCAUUUCUCUUCGAUUGCAUGAAAGAACUCAUACUGGAGAGAAACCUUAUGAAUGUAAACAGUGUCAUAAAACCUUCAGUUUUUCAAGUUCCCUUCGAGAACACGAAACAACUCAUACUGGAGAGAAACCCUAUGAAUGUAAACAAUGUGGUAAAACCUUCAGUUUUUCAAGUUCCCUUCAAAGACAUGAAAGGACUCACAAUGCAGAGAAACCCUAUGAAUGUAAACAGUGUGGGAAAGCCUUCAGGUGUUCAAGUUAUUUUCGAAUUCAUGAAAGGUCACACACUGGAGAGAAACCCUAUGAAUGUAAACAGUGUGGAAAAGUUUUCAUUCGUUCCAGUUCCUUUCGACUGCAUGAAAGAACACACACUGGAGAGAAACCCUAUGAAUGUAAACUAUGCAGUAAAACCUUCAGUUUUUCAAGUUCCCUUCGAGAACAUGAAAAAAUUCACACUGGGAAUAAACCUUUUGAAUGUAAGCAGUGUGGUAAGGCCUUCCUUCGUUCCAGUCAAAUUCGAUUGCAUGAAAGGACUCAUACUGGAGAGAAACCAUAUCAAUGUAAACAAUGUGGAAAAGCCUUCAUUUCUUCCAGUAAAUUUCGAAUGCAUGAGAGAACUCACACGGGAGAGAAACCCUAUCGAUGUAAACAAUGUGGGAAAGCCUUCAGAUUUUCAAGUUCUGUUCGAAUUCAUGAAAGGUCUCACACUGGAGAGAAACCUUAUGAAUGCAAACAAUGUGGAAAAGCCUUCAUUUCUUCCAGUCACUUUCGACUGCAUGAAAGGACUCAUAUGGGAGAAAAAGUCUAAGAAUAUAAGCAACAUUCUGAAGCCUUUGGUUGUUCCAGCUCCUUCUGAAUACACAAAAGAGUUCAUACUGGACUGAAGCUGUGUGAAUACAAACAUUGUUCUAAAGCCCUUGAUUGUUCCAGUUUCUUUUGAACACAAAAGAAGUCCCACUGGUGAGAAACCAUAUGAAUGUAAACAUUGUGAUUAAGCCUUCAGUUGACCUAAUUCAUUUCAAAGACAGGACUCCUGCUGCAGUGAAAUCUUUUUUUUUUUUUUUUUUUUUAAAAAAAGGCCAAGCUUGUUGGCUCAUGCCUAUAGUCCCAGCACUUUGGGAGGCCAAGGUGCAAGGUGGGCAGAUCAUCUGAGUUCAGAAAUUCGAGACCAGCUUGGUCAACAUGGUGAAACCCCAUCUCUACUAAAAAUUACAAAAAAAUUAGCGAGGCAUGGUAGCGCAUGCCUCUAAUCCCAGCUACUCGGGAGGCUAAGGCAGGAGAAUCACUUGAACCUGGAGGCAGAGGUUGCAGUGAGCUGAGAUCAUGCCACUGCAUUCCAGCCUGUGCGACAGAAUGAGACACUGUCUCAAGAAAAAAAAAAGUGGGAAAAUCUUCACCUGUCCUCUAGAGUGUGAAUAUAUGAAAGGACUCAGAGUGGGGUGAAAGUCUAUAAAUGUAAGAAAUUUGGGAAAACCUUCACACAGCCUUUUGAGCACACAUGAGAAUGUAUACUGGAGAGAAACCCUAUAAAUAUUGAGAAUGUGGGAAAUUCUUCGUCCUAGUUCUUUUGUUGUUGUUGAUGAUACAAAAAUAUUUUCAUUUAAUAAAGAUUGUCAGUUUAUAUUUAAUGAGAAAGAAAGUAUCACGUAAACAGCCCAGUAAUAAAAUUUUACGAUCUUAUAAAUUAUAACAUUUUUCUUUAAAAUUGGAACAUAUUCUCAUUAUGCUUUCCAAAGAACAUAUUGAUUUAGAUAUGACUCAUUCUUCAGUGGAUUCUACAGAAGAAACCAUAUGAGAGCUAAUUUCCAAUUCAGCAACAACAUUUUUUACUUCUGUAGUUAUUUUUUUCUAUCCAAUCUGGCUGAGUCUUGGUUGAGUAGUUCAUGCUGCUAUUUGAGGUCUCUGGGUAUGAGGUAGGGAUCCUUAAGUUUUCUCUCAUAAUAUGUCCUCUGUUGAGACCUACACUAUUAAGAUUUUCAACACAAGGUAACUCUUGGACUGGCCUUGUAGUAAAAAUGGAGAGUAAACAUUUGACGCAUUAUGUCUGUAGAAGCUUGGUGCAGACUGCUGCUAGUACCUCAUUCAUUCUGUAGAUGGACUUCUAAUUUUUCUCUUUAUUGUCUUUCUCUUUCUUCAUUCUCUCAUUUAAACUUCUCUACAUAUUCUAUAUCAUGUUCAUUUCCAUGUGACUUUUCAGAUUUACUACUUCUGUUACAGGCUUGCCAAUGCACCACAGUGUAGCAGUUUUUUGUUUUCUGAGGUAGUAUGUGGAGUUAUUUGUCUUACUUCCAAGAAGAUUAAGGAAUGCAGACACAAGGGUGAGAUUGGAGCAAAAGUUUAAUAAGCAAAAAAAGAAAGCUCUCUGCAGCAGAGAGUGGAGCCCAAAUGGGUUACCCACUAUGAGGCUGGGUCUGGGAUUUUUAUAGACUGGAAAGGGGAAGAAAUGUGCUGACUAGUCUGAAGGCUGUCUUGGCAAAGCAUGAUUCAGCCUGGCCCAGGACCUUGGCCUGGGACCAAUCAGAGGCUGAAGUGAUGAUUCAUAGAGGCUAAAGAAUGUUUAAAAAAAGAAAGUGCCCACCAGAACCCACCAGAGCCCACCAGGUAUAUGCCCAUAAAAGGAGUAGAGGCUAUUUCCUGGAAGCCCACUAGUUAUACAAAGGACGAAGGCAUUUCUAUGUUGGGCCUUGUUCCUUUAUUUAAGUGGGCUAAAGGUUUGUGCAAGUUUCCUUAUCUGAGUGGGCUAAAAGUUCUAUCUGUGCAGCUGUGGGCAUAUCUCUAGGCAUGACUCCCUGUGCUAAUUAUUAUUAUUUUUAAUCCAAUCAGAGAACUUGUUAUAUGUGGGAAUAAGGCACUAACCAGUGGGUCGGGGGCUCUCCAAAAACCCUUCCCUUGCUGUUUCCCUAAGGCAAGCUAGCUAACUCCUCUCACUUCUUGUUCCGACACCUUUUUAUUCUUCUCAAAUUCUUUAUAUUUGUUGUAUCGUUUUCAUAGAUAAUAAUUCCUGUUGAAGAACUUGAUUGUUUUCAGCCAGAUACAGACAUUUGGAGGAUGCACCUUCCAGUUCUGCUGUAAGAUUAUCAAUCUUAUGUUUUAUCUUUUUAAUCUGAAUAUCCAUUUCAAGUUGACUGGUUUUUAAAUAUCCAUGGAAACUAAACUCUUCAGCUUCAUAUUCAUUUAACUUCUUUUCUGUCAUUUCUAAGAGUUUCUUGUGCAUCCUAGUUCAUUUUGAGACCAUGAAACCAUGCACACAUUUAAGAGCAGCUUCUUGAAUGUAAGCAAUAUGGAAAUGUCUUCAAUUACAUAUGCAACCCUUUCCACCGCCUUAGGACAAAUUGAAGGACUGAGGAGAAAGGACUUGGGUCCCAACAGGCCUUUCUUGGAACCCCGUCUGAAGUUAAGAAACACUCCCAGCCCUUAGCUCACGUACGUGACUGCACAGAAUUGAGAGGGCUCCCACAAUCUGCCUUUGAACUUUCAUCAGUGUCCUUGGGUCAGAUCUUUGGGGAUGCUGUGGUUCUGAAAACAAAGGUACAUCCCACAGUUCUCCAGUGGGAUCUGCCUGUGGACACCCUAAUUCAUGGCUGUCAGCAUCAUGUUAUUCCAAGGCCAUCUGGAGGUCACGUCCAGCUCCGUUUCCCAUCCAAACCCACACUGUAGAUUCUUGCUGGUAAAUGCGUUUAAAAGUUCACACUAAGGCCGGGCACGGUGGCUCAUACCUGUAAUCCCAGCACUUUGGGAGGUCAAGGCGGGCAGCUCACAAGGUCAGGAGAUUGAGACCAUCCUGGCUAACGCGGUGAAACCCCAUCUCUGCUAAAAAUACAAAAAACUAGCCAGGCGUGAUGGCACGUGCCUGUUCUCCCAGCUACUCAGGAGGCUGAGGCAGAAGAAUCGCUUCAACCAAGGACGCGGAGGUUGCAGUGAGCCAAGAUCACACCACUGCACUCCAGCCUGGGUGACACAGACAGACUGUCUCAAAAAAAAAAGAAAAAGAGAAAAAAUAAAUAAAUAAAUAAAUAAAAGUUCACACUAGACCAUUUCUCUGUGACAACCCAGGUAGCUCUAAAGUGAGGGCUGAAGAAGCCAUGGCAGAAUGUGUCAUGCCCCUUGACCAUAUAAGAUCCACUGUCCCAUAACCACCAGCUCUGCACCAACCACCACAGAAGUCUCAAAACCAACCAUGGCAUCAUAGAGACAUGCCCUACCAUGUCCCAGCUACAGAACACAGUCAGACGAGAUCAGGCACGUUCAGGGUAGUAUGGCCACAGACUGCAGGACACAAUCAAACUUUUUACCUUCCCUAAUUUGCCCACCCCAGAUUUUCUGACACAUUCCACCUGGCUUAGGCACUGACAGUGACAAGGUCUUCUCUCCUCAGUGCGUGUCACAUGUGUGCUGCUGCAGGGCUGGUUUCAUAGCCUUGCCUCCAAGGCCAGCACUUACUGCUUCGUGGAACAGAACCCACCCUGUAGAACUCCAGCCUUGUGGUAUACAGGAAGCUGCCAUAUCAGAGAGGUGCCACCGGCCAUGGAGCCGACUCGCUUCAUGUCACUCCCAGAAUGCAAGGUGUACUAAACUCCCAAGAAACUGUCCUGACAGCACCAAAGAGUUCCUCCUUUGCUGAGCUGUGCAGCCAUGACUAUUUAAUCAGCAGGAUGAUCAAUAGGCCAAAGUUUCCACCAUAACUGCAAACUUGAAUACAGAUGAAUGGAUUACAACGUGUUCAAGCCUUUCAAUGACAGGCAUUGUAAUGUAUGGUGGUAUAACUGAUAGUGAUUCUUGGCCUAAAUGCUACUAAUUUAGUGGCCUAAAUGCUCCACUUAAAAGAUACAGAAUGGCAGAAUGGAUAAGAGUUUACCAGACCGGGUGCAGUGACUCAUGCCUGUAAUCCCAGCACUUUGGGAGGCUGGGGUGGGCGGAUCACCUGAGGUUGGGAGUUUGAGACUGGCCUGACCAACAAGGAGAAACCCUGUCUCUACUAAAAAUAAAAAAAAAUUAGCCAGACGUGGUGGUGAAUGCCUGUCAUCCCAGCUACUCAGGAGGCUGAGGUAACAGAAUUGCUUGAACCCAGGAGGUGGAGGUUGCGGUGAGCUGAGAUCACGCCAUUGCACUCCAACCUGGACAACAAGAACUAAACUCCAACUCAAAAAAAAAAAGAUUUUACAAGCCAAAUAUCUGCUGUCUUCAAGAGACUCACCCAACACAUAAGGACUCACUUAAACUUAAGGUAAAGGGUUGGAAAAAGGUAUUCCAUGCAAAUGCACCCCAAAAGCAAGUAGUAGUAGCCAUUCUUACAUCAGACAAAACAGACUUUAAAGCAAAAACAGUUUAAAAAAAAAAAAAGACAAAGAGGGACAUUAUAUAAUGAUAAAAGGACUAGUCCAACAGGAAAACAUCACAAUCCUAAAUAUAUAUGCACCUAACACUGGAGCUCCCAAAUUCAUAAAACAAUUACUAUUAGACCUAAGAAAUGAAAUAGAUGACAACGCAGUUAUAAUGAAGGACUUCAGUACUCUACUGACAGCAGUAGACAAGUCAUCAAGACAGAAAGUCAACAACAACAACAGCAAACAAUGGACUGAAACUAUAUCCGGGAACAAAUGGACUUAAAAAAUAUUUGCAGAACAUUCUACCCAAGAACUGCAGAAUAUACAUUUUAUUCAUCAGCACUUGAAACAUUUUCCAAGAUAGACAUAUGAUAGGCCACAAGUCUCAAUAAAUUUAACACAAUCAAAAUUAUAUCAACUACUCUCUCAGACUACAGUGGAAUAAAAGUGAAAAUCAACUCCAAAUGAACCAUCAAAACCAUGCAAAUACAUGGAAAUUAAAUAAAUUUUAGAAAUUAAAUACAUGGAAAUUAAAUAAAAAAUUAAAGAUCAACCUGUUUCUGGAUGAGCGUUGGAUGAAAUCAAGAUGGAAAUUUAAAAAUUCUUUGAACUGAAUGCGCCCGCCAUGUCCACGGAAAGAGGCUGAGGCAGCCGAGCUCUGGCUCGAGGUACCGGGGCACCAGGACAGCAAAGAUGUCGGCUUCCUUAGUCCGGGCAACUGUCUGGGCUGUAAGCAAGAGGAAGCUUCAGCCCACCCAAGCCGCCCUCACCCUGACACCUUCAGCAGUAAACAAGAUAAAACAACGUGGCUGGGCGCGGUGGCUCACGCCUGUAAUCUCAGCACUUUGGGAGGCCGAGGUGGGUGGAUCAUGAGGUCAGGAAAUUGAGACCAUCCUGGCUAACACGGUGAAACCCCAUCUCUACUAAAAAUACAAAAAAUUAGCCAGGUGUGGUGGCGGGCACCUGUAGUCUCAGCUACUCAGGAGGCUGAGGCGGGAGAAUCGCUUGAACCUGGGAGGCAGAGGAUGCAGUGAGCCGAGAUCGCAGCUGGGCAACAGUGUGAGAUUCCGUCUCAAAAAAAAAAAAAAAAAAAAUUCCUUCAUUAUUUUUGUCAUGCAUUAAAGCCCAAGAAAGGCCUAGAAAAAACUUUUUGGUGGGCUUUUGUUACAUCCCAGCCUUUAUGUGAGGGCGCUGGCUUUUAAUAUUUAACUUAACCACUCAGUCAGUACUGAAACAGUUGUUAUGGACCUGCGUUAGUGAGACCUGGCCUGCCACAGUCUCACAUUCUUCGAUAAAAGUUCUUUUCUCAUAACCUACACUCAUCUUCCUGUAUCCUUUAAAUCAUCUCUAGGUUAUUUGUAAUACCUAAUACAAUGCAACUGCUGUGUAAAUAGUUUUUAUAAUAAGUCGUUUAGGAGAUAAUAAGGGGGAAAAAAAGCACAUAUUCAUUACAGACACAGCCAUCCUAUUUUUUUCUGAAUAUUAUCAAUUUGUAGCUGGUUGAAUCCAUGGAUGCAGAACCCAGGAAUAUGGAGGGCUGACUCUAUGGGAUUUCAGCAAAGGCGAAAAAAACAAAAUCAGCAAAAAAAAAAAAAAAUGAAUUGUGUUUCUACACACUAGCGGUGACCAGGCAGAAAAGAAAAUUAAGAAAACAAUCCCAUUUACAAUGGCGCAAAAACAAACAAAUACUUGAGAAUAAAUGUAACCAAGAAAAUAAAAGACUUCUACACUGAAAGCUACAAAGCAUUGCUAAAAGAAACUAAAGAGGCUGGGCGCAGUGGCUCACACCUGUAAUCUCAGCACUUUGGGAGGCCGAGGCAGGUGGAUCACCUGAGGUCAGGAGUUUGAGACCAGCCUGGCCAAUAUGGUGAAGCCCCGUCUCUACUAAAAAUUCAAAAAUCAGCCGGGCGUGGUGGUGCGUGCAUGUAGUCCCAGCUACUAGGGAGGCUGAGGCAGGAGAAUCACUUCAACCCAGGAGGAAGAGGUUGCAGUGAGACGAGAUCACACCACUGCACUCCAGCCUGGACAACAAGAGGGAGACUCCAUCUCAAAAAAAAGAAAGAUACAAAUACCUAGAAAGAUACCUGUGAUAUUAUGAAAUAUUUAUUUUGGUUCGUUCCUGUUUCCUUGGCCUACAGCUCCUAAAAGCCUUGGAAUCAAAGUGAUGUUGAGGUGACUAGUGACUGCGGGCCGUGCAUAGCCUCAGGAUGGGGUGGUUGCCAGGGGAAGCAACCACGUGAUUAGAUGGUUGGGAUACUCUGCUUCACCCCUGACUCCCCUGUGUUACUGGAAGGAAGGCCGUGAGUGUGAGUUGUCCAGGUCCUUGGAGUUUUUGAACAAAGAACUGAACAAAACACACAAAGGAACAAAACCCAGGACCGAAGCCGCAAAAGCAGGGAUUUAUUAAAGGGAGAAAGCACAUUACAGGGUGGAAGUGGGCCCGAGCAAGCAGCUCAAGGGACCAGUUACAAAGUUUUCUGGGUUUUAAGUACUCCUUUCGAGGUCCCCAUCAGUUACCCCUUAUCUGGAUGAAAGAUUUGGCUGGUGGCUAAAGGCUGAGGUGAAUUGGUGCCCUCUGAAGAUGAAGGGAUGGGCCGUGCUUGGCCCGCAGCCAUUCUGGGGCACUUUCCAUCUGAGAUGUGGUGGAAAUGGGAGGGCUGGAGGAAAAGUAGCCUUUGAUCCUUUGCUGCUCCAGGCUUGGGGAGGUGGGGUUUUUCCUUUUGGUUUAGCUUUAGGCAGUUGGCGUUAAUUGGCCUUAGAUUCUCUGCCCCCAGACCUUGGUGUUUUCCUUUGACCCAGCUUUAGGAAGUCAGCGUGAAUUGGCCUUAAGUUCCCUGCCUCACCUGGAGGAGAGAUGUGCUGAAGUUUAAGUCUAUCACCAAUAUCCAAUGAUGUAAUCAAGCCAGGCGCUUGAUUACAUCAUUUCUUCAGACCCCCAGUAAAAUUUGUUUAAUCCUAAUGGUCCUGUUAAGAAUUCCAGGCCAGGCGCGGUGGCUCACGCCUGUAAUCCCAGCACUUUGGGCAGCCGAGGCAGGCAUAUCAGAAGGUCAAGAGAUCGAGACCAUCCUGGCCAACACGGUGAAACCCCAACUCUACUAAAAAUACAAAAAUUAGCCAGGCAUGGUGGCAGGCACCUGUAGUCCCAGCUACUCAGGAGGCUGAGGCAGGAGAAUGGCUUGAACGUGGGAGGUGGAGGUUGCAGUGAGCCAAGGUCGCACCACUGCACUCCAGCCUGGUGACAGAGCGAGACUCCAUCUCAAAAAAAUUAAUUAAGUAAUUAACUGGCACGUGAGGUGAGGGCAGUCUUAUGGCACUGGGACCUGAACCUGUGGAAUCUGAUGCUAUCUCCAACUAGCAUCAGAAUUUAGUUCAGUUAGGGGGCAGCCUCCUGGUGUCUGCUGGAGAGGAAUGCUCUGCAGAAUUGCUUGCUUGGUGUGUGUGGAAAGACCCCCCACAUCUGGUCGCAGAAGUGUUGCAUGUUAUUGUUUGAGAAUAAGAAAAAGAACUAUUGUGUUUUUCUGUAUUCUCAGAGAAUUCCAUGCUCAUAGAUCGGAUGACUUUAUAUUUUUUUGUUUUUUGAGACAGAGUCUCACUGUGUCUCCCAGGCUAGAGUGCAGUGGCGCAAUCUCAGCUCACUGCAACCUCAGCCUCCUGGGUUCAACCAAUUCUCCUGCCUCAGCCUCCCGAGUAGCUGGGAUUACAGGCAUGCACCACCACAUCUGGCUAAUUUUUGUAUUUUUAGUAGAGACAGGGUUUUGCCAUGUUGGCCAGGCUAGUCUCAAACUGGCCUCAAGUGAUCUACCGGCCUUGGCCUCCCAAAGUGCUGGGAUUACAGGCGUGAGCCACUGCAUCCAGCCCAGAUGACUUAAUAUUGUUAAGAUGUCUCCACUACCCAAAGUCAUCUACAGAUUUAAUAAAAUCUACACCAAAAUUUCAACUGCUAUUUUGCAAAAAUAGUAUAUAUAUACUCCCUGUUUUUGCAAAAUACAAAAGGAUGCCAUUGAAAUAUCUGUACACACACACUCACCAUCAGAGAUCAUAAGAGAAGUGCAAAUUAAAAGCAUAAUGAGGUCGGGCAUGGUGGCUGACGCCUGUAAUCUCAGCACUUUGGAAAGCCAAGGCGGGUGGGUCACCUGAGGUCAGUAGUUCGAAACCAGCCUGACCAACAUGGUGAAACCCUGUCUCUACUAAAAAUACAAAAUUAGCUGGACAUGGUGGUGCAUGCCUGUAAUCCUAGCUGCUUGGGAGGCUGAGGCAGGAGAAUCACUUGAACCAGGAGGCGUAGGUUGCAGCGAGCUGAGAUCACGCCACUGCACUCCAGCCUGGGCAACAAGAAACUCGGUCUUUAAAAAAAAAAAAGUGCAUAAUGAGGUAUUUCCUCACACCAAUUAGAAUGGCCAACAUCAGAAUAGCAGGCCAGGUGCGGUGGCUCACGCCUGUAAUCCCAGCACUUUGGGAGGCCGAGGCAGGCAGAUCACGAGGUCACGAGUUCAAGACCAGCCUGACCAACAUGGUGAAACAAAAAUUAGCUGGGUGUGGUGGCACGUGCCUGUAAUCCCAGCUGCUCCAGGGGCUGACGCAGGAGAAUCACUUGAACCCAGGAGGCGGCAGUUGCAGUGAGCUGCGAUCGUGCCGCUGCACUCCAGCCUGGGCGACAGAGCAAGACUCCAUCUCAAUAAAUAAUAAAUAAAUAAAUAAAAAGUGUUCGUGAAGACAGAGAGAUAUUGGAGUGCUUAUGCAUUGAUGGGCCAUUAUGAAAAACAGCAUUGUGAAGAACAGGUUGUAAAAAAAAUGAAGGCCAGGCAUGGUGGCUCAUACCUGUAAUCCCAGCACUUUAGGAGGCUGAGGCGGGUGGAUCACUAGGUCAGGAAAUCGAGACCAUCCUGGCCAACAUGGUGAAACCCCAUCUCUACUAAAAAUACAAAAAUUAGCUGGGUGUGGUGGUGCGCACCUGUAAUCCCAGCUACUCAGGAGGCUGAGGCAGGAGAAUGGCUUGAACCCGGGAGAUGGAGGUUGCAGUGCGCCGAGAUCAUGUCACUGCACUCCAGCUUGGCGACAGAGUGAGACUCCAUCUAAAAAUAAAUUUUAAAAAAAAAGAAAAAUAGUAUGACCAUAUGAUCCAGUAAUUCCACUUCUGGGUGUGUAUCCCAAAGAUUUCACAACAAGAUCUCAAAGAGAAGAGAAAGAAACUUUGUCAGUUGGUACAACACCGAUGAACCCUGAGGACAUUAGGCUGAGUGAAAUGAGGCAGUCAUCAAACAAUAAAUGCUGUAGGAUUCCGUUCAUAUGGACUAGCUGAAGUAGUCAAAAUGCAGAAACAGUGCAGCAAGGUUGUUGCUGAGGAUGGGGGCUGUAGAAUGGGGCUGGGGUGGUGGGCAGUUGGAAGUAGUGUUUAAUGGAUAUAGAUUUUAGGUUUUGCAAGAUUGAAAAGGUCUAAAGAUCUGUUGCCCAACAGUGUGAAUAGACUUAACACUGCUGACCUAUACACUUGGGGUUAACUUGGUAUAUUUAAUUUUUCUUUCAGACAGAGUUUUGCUCUUGUUGCUCAGGCUGGAGUGCAGUGGCGUGAUCUUGGCUCACUACAACCUCUGCCUCCCAGAUUCAAGCAAUUCUCAUGCCUCAGCCUUCCAAGUAGCUGGAAUUACAGGCACACACCACCAUGCCCAACUAAUUUUUGUAUUUUUAGUAGAGAUGGGGUUUCGCCAUGUUGACCAGGCUGGUCUCGAACUCCUGACCUCAGGUGACCCACCUGCCUCGGCCUCCCGAAGUGCUGGGACAGACGUGAGCCACCAUUCCCAGCCAUUAUAUUUAGUCUUAAGAGUUUUUGCCACAAAAAAAAAAUAAUCUUCAAACCUUUUAAAUUUGAAAGAAACUACUAAACAGAAUUUCCAUAUGACAUCAGUUUUUGUUGUAGGUAGAAAUAAAUGGAAACAUGUCCACACAAGACCUUGAGCAUGAACGUUUAUAGUGGUGUUAUUCAUGACAGCCAAAAGGUAGAAACCAAUCCAUCAUUGAAUGCAUGGAUAAAAUAUGUAAUAGCCAGACAAUGGAAAAUAUUAAUAAUUCCAUCAUAAAUCUAAAUGAUGUACAGGACCAUACUACAACAUGGAUAUCCCUUCAAAAAACUAUAGUAAAUGAAACCCAGUUAAAAAUUCCCUGUAUGGUAUGAUUUCAUUCACAUGAAAGUCCAGAGCAGAGAAAUCUGCAGAGAAAGAAAGUCAAUUGCUCACUGCCUAGGGCUGGGUGUUGAGGAAAAAAGAUGGGAGGAUGGGGGGAGUGGAUACCUAAAGGGUACAGGGGUUUCUCUUUGAGGUGAUGCAAAUCCACUGUGGUGAUGAUUGCAUGUAUCUGUGAAUAUACUAUACCUAUGAAUUAUACACUUUAACUGGGUGUAUUGUGUAGGAUAUGCAUAUUUGAAUAAAGUGGUUGAAAUAAGUAAA